CCUUUCCAAGUAAGGAUGUUUAAUCAUACACAUGCCAACCUGCUGUGUCCUCCAGACCAAAGAAUGGACUCUGCCCCUUAUUUGUCCAUAAAACAUUCACAUGGAAACCAGACUCUUAACACAGCUGAAUUUAUUUGGGGAUGAAUAUUAUAGCCCAGUGAUAUUUUGGAGAGAAAAUUAAGAACAAAAAACCAUAAGCAGAUCUUCUUCCUCCAUACAUCUAAAGACUUUUUGUCCAUUGUAGCAAACUGCAAAGAGACAGCUGCUCAUCUGUGACCACCGAAGGCCACCCCUCUCCAAAUAUACCUUCCAACUGGAAUUAGGACCAUGACAGAAGCUUGAGAUAAAGAGGAUACUAUUGUCCAAUCAUCACAGAUCUGGGCAGAAUUUGUCCAUCACUGGUACUGGAAGAGAUACUGGAAUGCUGAUGGCUCAAACAUUCAGGAGGAAGCUGCUGAUGUGCAAAGUACCUGCCCAGAUGCAGAGGAUGAGCACAGCCCACCUCAGGCUACAGAUGAUGUUGAACAAGAUCUGCCUCUAUAAAAUGAAGCUAAUGCUGCUGACCCAGAAUGCUGUUGUAGGAGAAAGGUCUUCACUUAUCUCUGGUACCACACAUGAAGAAUCAAGAGAGAGCCUAAGAAGGCGAGAAAGGGGGUUAUGUUCUGCUCUGCUGCUUAAUUGAAUAAGCUGCUAUUUGCAAGUAAUUAAGGGAAAACUCAAGUGUCUGUGAGUGGGGUGGAAGAGGAGAAUUCCUCUAAUUUACAUCUCAUUGCCACUGAGAUAAAUAUGCUUUCUUGUUCUUAUCAAAAUGAUUAAUGAGACCUUCCUUAAUAGUGAUGCCUUUUAACUACUGUUAUCGCCUAAUGAUUAAACUAAUGGGUAGCUAAAGCCUGGAAGUUUCACCUGCUUGCUUCAUGAAAAAAUUUCCUCCCUCCAGCUUCUCAUCCAGUCCCAGUUACAAACUCCAGUUCUGCUGCAGAUUUACCCAAUAAUGGAACUGGCAGAGGUUAAAGCCUGAUUAAGUUACUCACUCCAUCCGUGACAACAUGAUCCGACCAAGUCUACAUCGGUGGUUGUCAGACUGCCUGUGGCCCAGACAAAGCAGAUUUGAUUCCAGAAAUCCAAGCUCAGGUACCUUCCCACAGGUUUCACUUUUCCCUCACAUCCUCCUCAGCCCCUGUCAUUUGUAUUCCAGCAUUUGUGUAAGUGAUGAGUGUUUGGGGUUGGACCCACACAUGUGCUGUCUCAGCCAUAUGAACAGACCUUUGAUGACUGCACAUGGUUUUGGAUGAGAAUCUAUCAAAUAUAG
rnacentral:lncRNA from 1 species